rnacentral:rRNA from 1 species
AGUGAACGCUGGCGGUAGGCCUAACACAUGCAAGUCGAACGGCAGCACAGUAAGAGCUUGCUCUUACGGGUGGCGAGUGGCGGACGGGUGAGGAAUACAUCGGAAUCUACUUUUUCGUGGGGGAUAACGUAGGGAAACUUACGCUAAUACCGCAUACGACCUACGGAUGAAAGCAGGGGAUCUUCGGACCUUGCGCGAUUGAAUGAGCCGAUGUCGGAUUAGCUAGUUGGCGGGGUAAAGGCCCACCAAGGCGACGAUCCGUAGCUGGUCUGAGAGGAUGGUCAGCCGCACUGGAGCUGAGACACGGUCCAGACUCCUACGGGAGGCGGCAGUGGGGAAUAUUGGACAAUGGGCGCAAGCCUGGUCCAGCCAUACCGCGUGGGUGAAGAAGGCCUUCGGGUUGUAAAGCCCUUUUGUUGGGAAAGAAAAGCAGCAGGUUAAUACCCCGCUGUUCUGACGGUACCCAAAGAAUAAGCACCGGCUAACUUCGUG